rnacentral:rRNA from 1 species
CCUACGGGUGGCAGCAGUAGGGAAUCUUCCACAAUGGGCGAAAGCCUGAUGGAGCAACGCCGCGUGGGUGAAGAAGGUCUUCGGAUCGUAAAACCCUGUUGUUAGAGAAGAAAGUGCGUGAGAGUAACUGUUCACGUUUCGACGGUAUCUAACCGGAAAGCCACGGCUAACUACGUGCCAGCAGCCGCGGUAAUACGUGGGUGGCAAGCUUUAUCCGGAUUUAUUGGGUUUAAAGGGUGCGCAGGCGGAAUGUCAAUUCAGCGGGAAAAUUUCGGGGUUCAACCCCGUCGUGCCGUUGAAACUGGCGGUCUUGAGUGAGCGAGAAGUAGGCGGAAUUCGUGGUGUAGCGGUGAAAUGCAUAGAUAUCACGCAGAACUCCGAUUGCGAAGGCAGCAUACCGGCGCUCAACUGACGCUCAUGCACGAAAGCGUGGGUAUCGAACAGGAUUAGAUACCCCUGUAGUC